GUUGUUGCAGUUAAAAAGCUCGUAGUUGGAUCUUGGGUCGUAAAGGUCGGUCCGCCUACUCGGUGUGCACCUGCCCUUCCGUCCCUUUUGUCGGCGGCGUGCUCCUGGCCUUAACUGGCUGGGUCGCGGCUCCGGCGCUGUUACUUUGAAAAAAUUAGAGUGCUCAAAGCAAGCUUAUGCUCUGAAUACAUUAGCAUGGAAUAACGUGAUAGGAGUCUGGUCCUAUUGUGUUGGCCUUCGGGACCGGAGUAAUGAUUAAUAGGGACUGUCGGGGGC
rnacentral:rRNA from 1 species